AUACCUAUGUAUUGAAUUGAAUGAUAAAUAAAUGUUUCUAAGGAAAAAAAAAAAAAAAGGUUCACCCAGGGUGAGGCUUGGCCAUUGCAGUCCGGUUUGUGCUGACCUCUGCGAAUUCCUCAAAUGUGGGAAUCUCGACUGCAUAAUUUAUGGUAGUGGGGGACUGCGUUCGCGCUCUCCCCUG
rnacentral:snRNA from 1 species